rnacentral:rRNA from 1 species
GACGAACGCUGGCGGCGUGCUUAACACAUGCAAGUCGAACGCUGAAGCCUGGCUUUUGUUAGGUGGAUGAGUGGCGAACGGGUGAGUAACACGUGAGUAACCUGCCCUCUUCUUUGGGAUAACGCCCGGAAACGGGUGCUAAUACUGGAUAUUCACUUGCCUUCGCAUGGGGGUGGGUGGAAAGGGUUUUUUCUGGUGGGGGAUGGGCUCGCGGCCUAUCAGCUUGUUGGUGGGGUGAUGGCUUACCAAGGCUUUGACGGGUAGCCGGCCUGAGAGGGUGACCGGUCACAUUGGGACUGAGAUACGGCCCAGACUCCUACGGGAGGCAGCAGUGGGGAAUAUUGCACAAUGGGCGCAAGCCUGAUGCAGCGACGCCGCGUGAGGGAUGGAGGCCUUCGGGUUGUGAACCUCUUUCGCUCAUGGUCAAGCCGCAACUCAUGGUUGUGGUGAGGGUAGUGGGUAAAGAAGCGCCGGCUAACUACGUGCCAGCAGCCGCGGUAAUACGUAGGGCGCGAGCGUUGUCCGGAAUUAUUGGGCGUAAAGGGCUUGUAGGCGGUUGGUCGCGUCUGCCGUGAAAUCCUCUGGCUUAACUGGGGGCGUGCGGUGGGUACGGGCUGGCUUGAGUGCGGUAGGGGAGACUGGAACUCCUGGUGUAGCGGUGGAAUGCGCAGAUAUCAGGAAGAACACCGGUGGCGAAGGCGGGUCUCUGGGCCGUUACUGACGCUGAGGAGCGAAAGCGUGGGGAGCGAACAGG